GCCCAGUGAUGAGUCUAAGGCAACUCUGAGCUGAAUGGCUGAGGAAUCGUGUUCUGUAGCUUUCUGACUGGUGGGUAAUCUUGGCUGAGUAGUGGAGAUUGGCUGCUUUGCUGUAAGGGCCCACCUACAGUACAUUAGCAACCAAUCCUUAUAAUCCCUUUCCCCAAAGAUAUGGGUCCAGGAACAUGAUUGGUAGCUUACAUUUACUUUUCUUCUCUCUGUCCUUUCAUUUUCUCUGUUUCUCUCUGUACCUCUCGGUCAGAAAGCGAGUUCACAUUUCUCUGCGUCAGACAGCUUUGACCAUGUUCUUUGGUAAUCUGAGGGCA